GGGCGGUUAGCUCAGCGGUUAGAGCGCUUGCUUCACACGCAAGAGGUCACUGGU
rnacentral:tRNA from 1 species